GACGAACGCUGGCGGCGUGCUUAACACAUGCAAGUCGAACGGUAAGGCCCUUCGGGGUACACGAGUGGCGAACGGGUGAGUAACACGUGGUGAUCUGCCCUGCACUUCGGGAUAAGCCUGGGAAACUGGGUCUAAUACCGGAUAGGACCAUGGACUUCACGGUUUGUGGUGGAAAGCUUUUGCGGUGUGGGAUGGGCCCGCGGCCUAUCAGCUUGUUGGUGGGGUAAUGGCCUACCAAGGCGACGACGGGUAGCCGGCCUGAGAGGGUGUCCGGCCACACUGGGACUGAGAUACGGCCCAGACUCCUACGGGAGGCAGCAGUGGGGAAUAUUGCACAAUGGGCGCAAGCCUGAUGCAGCGACGCCGCGUGAGGGAUGACGGCCUUCGGGUUGUAAACCGUCUUUCAACUAGGGACAAAGCGCAAGUGACGGUACCGU
rnacentral:rRNA from 1 species